UACGGAGGAGGCGAGCGUUGUUCGGAAUUACUGGGCUUAAAGCGCGUGUAGGCGGACCGGAAAGUGCUUUGUGAAAUCCCCCGGCUCAACCGGGGAACGGCUAGGCAUACUCCCGGUCUUGAGGCAGGUAGGGGCGUGUGGAACUCUAGGUGGAGCGGUGAAAUGCGUAGAUAUCUAGAGGAACGCCGGUGGCGAAAGCGGCUCUCUGGACCGGUACUGACGCUGAGGCGCGAAAGCUAGGGGAGCAAACGGG
rnacentral:rRNA from 1 species